UCCGGAGUAGCUCAAUGGUAGAGCAAUCGACUGUUAAUCGAUUGGUUCUCGGUUCGAAUCCGAGCUCCGGAG
rnacentral:tRNA from 1 species